rnacentral:rRNA from 1 species
GGGAUAACACUUGGAAACAGGUGCUAAUACCGUAUAACACUAUUUUCCGCAUGGAAGAAAGUUGAAAGGCGCUUUUGCGUCACUGAUGGAUGGACCGCGGUGCAUUAGCUAGUUGGUGAGGUAACGGCUCACCAAGGCCACGAUGCAUAGCCGACCUGAGAGGGUGAUCGGCCACACUGGGACUGAGACACGGCCCAGACUCCUACGGGAGGCAGCAGUAGGGAAUCUUCGGCAAUGGACGAAAGUCUGACCGAGCAACGCCGCGUGAGUGAAGAAGGUUUUCGGAUCGUAAAACUCUGUUGUUAGAGAAGAACAAGGAUGAGAGUAAAAUGUUCAUCCCUUGACGGUAUCUAACCAGAAAGCCACGGCUAACUACGUGCCAGCAGCCGCGGUAGUACGUAGGUGGCAAGCGUUGUCCGGAUUUAUUGGGCGUAAAGCGAGCGCAGGCGGUUUCUUAAGUCUGAUGUGAAAGCCCCCGGCUCAACCGGGGAGGGUCAUUGGAAACUGGGAGACUUGAGUGCAGAAGAGGAGAGUGGAAUUCCAUGUGUAGCGGUGAAAUGCGUAGAUAUAUGGAGGAACACCAGUGGCGAAGGCGGCUCUCUGGUCUGUAACUGACGCUGAGGCUCGAAAGCGUGGGGAGCGAACAGGAUUAGAUACCCUGGUAGUCCACGCCGUAAACGAUGAGUGAUAGGUGUUGGAGGGUUUCCGCCCUUCAGUGCUGCAGCA